GUGGUUUGUUGUUGUUAUUACUGUCGUUAGUAUUCUUUUCCUCUUUUCAGGAGGAGAUGGAAGAUUGAGAGCAGAGUGCAAGAAUGGGAAGAGGGCUUCGUGCCCUGUGCACGUUUGCCACCUAGUGACCAAACUGAAUGGUGUGCUUCUCACCUCAGCCUGAUAGCCUGACCUUGACUCCUGAGUUCCACGAUCGCUUCACAACUGCAAGUCACCAUCAUACAAAAUUUGAGUUUCCCUAAGUCCGCGCCUUUGAGAGCUUUGGAACGAUAUGCAAGUUCAAGUCACCAUCCUGUUUCUUGCUACCUCCUGGUUUCCGAUGGCGCCAGUGUCAAGGUCUUCCAACAACUCCGGGUCUUCCAGCGACUUCAAGUCUUCCAAUAAUCUCAAGGUCUUCCGGAUAAUCCUGAGCUUCCAGAAAAUCCACAUCUUCCAGACAAUCCAUGUCUUCCGGACAAUCCAUGUCUUCCAGUCAGUGUCUUCCAGAAAAAUCUAUGUCUUCCACCAAAUCCAGGUCUUCCAGUCAAUCCACAUCUUCCGGAAAAAAUCCAGGUCUUCCAGCCAAUAUAUGUCUUCCUGAAGAUCCAUGUCUUCCAGAAAAUCCAUGUCUUCCAGAAAAUCCACGUCUUCCAGUAACCUCCCAGUCUUCCAGAAAAUCCACGUCUUCCCAACAAUCCAGGUCUUCCGGAUAAUUUGGGUCUUCCUGAAAAUCUACGUCUUCCAAAAAAGCCAUGUCUUCCAGAAAAUCCACGUCUUCCAACAAAGCCAUGUCUUCCAGGAAAUCCGUGUCUUCCAGCAAAUCCACGUCUUCCAACAAAGCCAUGUCUUCCAUCAAAUUAAUGUCUUCCAGCCUACUUGUGUCUUCCAACAAAGGUCUUCCAGCAUCUCCAGGGCUUCCAGCAUCUGCUCGUCUUCCAACAUCUCCACGUCUUCCAGCAUCUCUACGUCUUCCAGCAUCUUCAUGUCUUCCAACAACUACCCAGUCUUCCAUCAACUGGCUCAAUAUCCAUGUCUUCCAACGUCUCCAGUGUGCUGAUCUUCUGACAUUCAGGUCUUCCAGUGUCUGCAAUAUCCAGGUAUUCUAACAUGUUCUAUAGUCCAGAUCUUCCAACCUUUCCCCAGGUCCAGGCCUUUUCAAAUCUAGGCUUCCCCUGUCUGAGCCUUCCCAUGUUAAAAUCACUCUACAGAAAAAUCUUCCAACUCAACUAUUUCUGCUUCUAGUUGAAUUAGCUUCAAAAACAUUUAAUGGGACAUUCCUCCUUAUACACCAGAUCUUAUGAACCAAUAGUACUGCAGUUUGUGUUUUUUACUAUUAGGAAAUGUGUGUUUAAUCUCUACAACUUUUAAAAAUAAUGUCCAUAAUAAAACUUCUGCAGAAUAAACAGAUAGGACUGCUGCAAUAAAUUUUACUACUUCACUAGUGCUUACGGUUUUUAUACAGUUGACUAUGUUUAGGUCUAAGUGAAAUUUUUAUUUAAUGAGAAAAAUUCCUGUUUAAGACUGGUAUUUUAGGUAAAGUUAAC
rnacentral:lncRNA from 1 species